rnacentral:rRNA from 1 species
GACGAACGCUGGCGGCGUGCUUAACACAUGCAAGUCGAACGGAAAGGCCCCCUUGUUGGGUUCUCGAGGGUCGAACGGGUGGGUAACACGUGAGUAACCUACCCUUCAUUUUGGGAUAACUUCAGGUAACGGGGGCUAAUACCGGAUAGGAGCUCCUGCUGCAUGGUGGGGGUUGGAAAGUUUCGGCGGUUGGGGAUGGACUCGAGGCUUAUCAGCUUGUUGGUGGGGUAGUGGCUCACGAAGGGUUUGACGGGUAGCCGGCCUGAGAGGGUGACCGGCCACAUUGGGACUGAGAUACGGCCCAGACUCCUAUGGGAGGCAGCAGUGGGGAAUAUUGCACAAUGGGCGGGAGCCUGAUGCAGCAACGCCGCGUGCGGGAUGACGGCCUUCGGGUUGUAAACCGCUUUCGCCUGUGACGAAGCGUGAGUGACGGUAAUGGGUAAAGAAGCAACGGCUAACUACGUG